GGAGGAAAAGAAACUAACAAGGAUUCCCCUAGUAACUGCGAGUGAAGCGGGAAAAGCUCAAAUUUAAAAUCUGGCAGUCUUUGGCUGUCCGAGUUGUAGUCUGGAGAAGUGCUUUCCGCGCUGGACCGUGUACAAGUCUCCUGGAACGGAGCGUCAUAGAGGGUGAGAAUCCCGUCUUUGACAUGGACUACCAGUGCUUUGUGAUGCGCUCUCAAAGAGUCGAGUUGUUUGGGAAUGCAGCUCAAAAUGGGUGGUAAACUCCAUCUAAAGCUAAAUAUUGGCGAGAGACCGAUAGCGAACAAGUACCGUGAGGGAAAGAUGAAAAGCACUUUGGAAAGAGAGUUAAACAGUACGUGAAAUUGCUGAAAGGGAAACGCUUGAAGUCAGUCGCGUUUGCUAGGACUCAGCCUUGCCUCGGCUUGGUGCAUUUCCUAGUAGACGGGCCAGCAUCAUUUUUGGCUGCAGGAAAAAGGUUAGAGGAAUGUGGCACCUCCGGGUGUGUUAUAGCCUCUAGCUGUAUACUGUGGCUGGGAGUGAGGAACUCAGCGCGCCUUCAUGGCGGGGCUUCGGCCACCUUCGUGCUUAGGAUGCUGGCGUAAUGGCUUUAAACGACCCGUCUG
rnacentral:rRNA from 1 species